rnacentral:rRNA from 1 species
UACGAAGGGGGCUAGCGUUGUUCGGAAUUACUGGGCGUAAAGCGUGCGUAGACGGUUAUUUAAGUCGGGUGUGAAAGCCCCGGGCUCAACCUGGGAAUUGCAUUCGAGACUGAAUAGCUAGGGUACGGUAGAGGGAAGCGGAAUUUCCGGUGUAGCGGUGAAAUGCGUAGAGAUGUGGAGGAACACCGAUGGCGAAGGCAGCCCCCUGGGCUAACACUGACGCUCAGGCACGAAAGCGUGGGGAGCAAACAGG